rnacentral:lncRNA from 1 species
CGGUGGGGUUGAGGGGCUUGGAGGCUUUGCCCCCGGGGGUGGUGGUGGUGGGAUUGAUGGACGUGGCGGCUUUGCUGACGGAGGUGGCGGUGGGAUUGACGGAGGUGGUGGCUUCGCAGCCGGAGGUGGUGGUGGUGGGAUUGAUGGACGUGGCGGCUUUGCUGAUGGAGGUGGCGGUGGGAUUGACGGAGGUGGUGGCUUCGCAGCCGGAGGUGGUGGUGGUGGGAUUGAUGGACGUGGCGGCUUUGCUGAUGGAGGUGGCGGUGGGAUUGACGGACGUGGUGGCUUUGCAGCCAGAGGAGGUGGUGGGGUUGAUUGACUUGGUGGUUUUGCUGAUG